UACGUAGGGUGCGAGCGUUGUCCGGAAUCACUGGGCAUAAAGCGCACGUAGGCGGCCAAGUCAGUCAGGUGUGAAAUACCUCGGCUCAACCGAGGAACUGCGCCUGAUACUGCUUGGCUUGAGGUCCGGAGGGGAGAGUGGAAUUCCCGGUGGAGCGGUGAAAUGCGUAGAGAUCGGGAAGAACGCCGGCGGCGAAAGCGACUCUCUGGUCGGAAUCUGACGCUGAGGUGCGAAAGCUAGGGGAGCAAACGGG
rnacentral:rRNA from 1 species